ACUCACAAACCAUGAGGUCAUGACCUGAACCAAAACCAAGAGUUGGAUGCUUAACCGACUGAGUCAUCCAGGCACCCCAAGAUUUUCUAUUUUCUGUCUUCUUAAAACACAUUCCCUGUGUGCUUCCCAAAGGGCCUGUGCCAAUUUCUGUUAGUUGGCAUCUUUUAAUUUUUUUAAAUAUUUAUUUUUGAGAAAGAGAGAGAGGAAGACAGAAUGUGAGUGGGGGAGGGGCAGAGAGCGAGAGAGACCCAGAAUCCAAAACAGGCUCCAAGCUCUGAGCUGUCAGCACAGAGCCCGACACGGGGCUCGAACUUAUGGAACCGUGAGAUCAUGACCUGAGCCAAAGUCAGCCGCUCAACCGACUGAGCCACCUAGAUACCCCUGUUAGUUGGCAUCUUUUAAAUCGUCAAAGUGUCUCUUUACAGGCCAGUACUCAAGUGUCCCGUAUUCCUAGUAACAUUCAAACUCAGGGCUAGGUGAGCCCUCUGAAGUACAGGCUGAGCUGGAAAUUCCAUCCAUCAGCUGUUGCUAGCUAGCCUCAAUGCAAGUUGGUCCUGGGCAUCAACUGGAGCCUGGGAGGGUGUGGUCUACUCUCUGGACAAAAGGUCUUUCCCAAUUUCCUGUCCCAUAGGCUUCCUGUGGCAUUCUGUCAGCCCCCGUGUAGGGUGGAGAAUAUAUGUGUUUGUGCCUUGGGACCUAAAAUUGUAACAGUUGAAAACCCUUAGAGUGAAUUAUUAAAUCUAAACCAGAGCCUGUUGGCUUCUUGUGCUUGACUGGGAGUCUGUUUCGUUAUGGUAGUUUUUACAAAACACUUCUGAGUAAGAAAUAAAUUCCAAAUCUUUUUUUCCCCCGUCUCUUGCCAAACUCCACCAGGAAACAGAAUCUCGUUAUUUCAGUUAGAAUAUAUUAAUACUGACCCUCUCCAGCAGUUGGGACUUUUCAGGUUAGGAUCACACGGCUUCUAUUUUUACUCUAGUCUAAACUGUGGUCAUAUGGAUAACAAAAUAAAUACUGGAAUAUUCUAGUUUAGAGGGGGAGAGGCGGCAAUGCUUAUAAUAACAUGGCUACAAACCUCUUGCUUUCCUCUGUUUGAUAUUCCAAAAAAGGAAGAAAGCACAACUUGGAACACAUCUGUAAGUAAUGAACAUUUUCCUUUUGUGUAUCAUGCAUAUUCAACAUAAUCCCACUCAAAAUCCCAGCAUUGCUUUAAUAUACAUUGCUUCGUAGAGCCCUAUUUUUGUUGCCAACAGAUUUAAUUCAGGACAAAGCUUCUUCCCUUCUCUCUUUGGAUUAGGAAUAUGAACCCUUUACUACAAACAGAAGGAAGAAUUGUUGGUGUGUAAAUUAAAAUAAAAACUUAAAAAAAAAAUUGUCGUUGUGUCCGACUUCCCUCCCCUCCUCUGCCGUGCCCCCCUUCACUUCCUUGUUGCCUAAGAGGAAGACUGGUUUUUGUUUAGCAUUAGCAAUAAACCAAUUUCAGGAAGAGUAUUUUUUAAAGACAUAUUGAUUGAAUUUUUGUAAUUCCAGUGUUUCAGAUUUCAAAAGCUAGAAAAUCUAACUGCUUUGAACCACUUUCAGUUUUUUUUUUUUUAAGAGGAAAAUUUCUACCAUUAAGUACACUAACUCAGUGUUACUGUAAAAAAUUUUUUUAAUGUUUAUUUUAGAGAGAGAGAGAGAGAGAGAGAGAGAGAGAGAGCGCGACAGCAUGAGCGGGGGAGGGGCAGAGAGAGAGAGAGGGAGACUCAGAAUCUGAAGCAGGCUCCAAGCUGUCAGCACAGAGCCCGAAGUGGGGUUUGAACCCACAAACUGUGAGAUUGUGACCUGAGCCGAAGUUGCAGCUUAACCAACUGAGCCACCCAGGUGCCCCACUCAGUGUUACUUUUUAAAUGCUCUUCAGCCAUUUUAAAGUUCUCCACAGACCAACACUGUCUCUGGCUCAUUGGAGGCAUCCCUAAUGAGUUGGUGGUUUCUUCUAAGGUCAUACUUAUCUUCAUGGCUCUUCUCACAGUAUAGGGCAGAAGUGCAGAUUGCCCUUUUUAAAGAGACCAGGUAAGAGAAUGUUGAUCUAGUUUUCCCAGAUGUGAGGUAACCAGGUUAUGUCAUUAAAAAGCGUGGUUAUUUCCUUUCCCCAAGUGGCUGUAAGCUUGGGUUCAGCCUUUCUGAAAAAUGUGACAUCUUCCUCUGUUGAGCCUUUAUCAUGUGUUGUCUCUUGGAGCACAAUGAUAGGUCUGGUAGAGGAUGCAGAAAACAGCAGACCAGGUCCCGAUUCUCAGACCGCUUCAAGGAAUGUACAUUCUAAGGAGUGAGAUCAGAUUCCCACUCUGUGAGGCAUCCAACAGGAAAAUCCCAACCAGAGUGGUAAUUCCAAAUGAGUGGUUGGAACUUGAAGAACUGUAAAUAGAUACCAUAGGAAUUCUGUCAUAUGCUAUGGCUUGGUUUGUUUCAGAAGGUUCAUGGAACAAGUUGGAUUUCUCCAUAGUUGCCUAUGAUUUUACAUUAAUUUGUUUUAAAUUUGCCAUUUUUAUGAGCAACAUCCUGCCUCACACUUCAUACCUUCAUGUGAUUCUUCCUUCAUAAAAGCUAAUGAUUUUUUUUUUCAGAAUUUGGGUUUAUCUUCCUAAUAUGCACAAGUAAAUAAUUUAUAGGCAUACCUUGUUUUAUUAUGCUUUGCAGGUAUUACAGGUUUUUUUGUUUUUGUUUUUUAUGAAUUGAAGUUUGUGGCACCUCCGCGUUGAGCAAAUUUAUCAUCACCACUUUUCUAACAGCAUUUG